UGUUUCUGCCAGGGCAUGAACCUGUGACCUUCCGCGUGUUAGGUUGAUGUGAUAACCAUUACACUUC